rnacentral:rRNA from 1 species
AGCGAACGCUGGCGGCAGGCCUAACACAUGCAAGUCGAACGAACCUUUCGGGGUUAGUGGCGGACGGGUGAGUAACCCGUGGGAACGUGCCUUUAGGUUCGGCAUAACUCAGGGAAACUUGUGCCAAUACCGAAUGUGCCCUUCGGGGGAAAGAUUUAUCGCCUUUAGAGCGGCCCGCGUCUGAUUAGCUAGUUGGUUGAGGUAAUGGCUCACCAAGGCGACGAUCAGUAGCUGGUCUGAGAGGCUGAUCCGCCACAUUGGGACUGAGACACGGCCCAAACUCCUACGGGAGGCGGCAGUGGGGAAUCUUGCGCAAUGGGCGAAAGCCUGACGCAGCCAUGCCGCGUGAAUGAUGAAGGUCUUAGGAUUGUAAAAUUCUUUCACCGGGGACGAUAAUGACGGUACCCGGAGAAGAAGCCCCGGCUAACUUCGUG